GACGAACGCCGGCGGCGUGCUUAACACAUGCAAGUCGAACGGUAAGGCCCUCCGGGGUACACGAGUGGCGAACGGGUGAGUAACACGUGGGUGAUCUGCCCUGCACUUCGGGAUAAGCCUGGGAAACUGGGUCUAAUACCGGAUAGGACUCCGGACUGCAUGGUCUGGGGUGGAAAGCGUUUGCGGUGUGGGAUGGGCCCGCGGCCUAUCAGCUUGUUGGUGGGGUGAUGGCCUACCAAGGCGACGACGGGUAGCCGGCCUGAGAGGGUGACCGGCCACGCUGGGGCUGAGCUACGGCCCAGACUCCUACGGGAGGCAGCAGUGGGGAAUAUUGCACAAUGGGCGCAAGCCUGAUGCAGCGACGCCGCGUGAGGGAUGACGGCCUUCGGGUUGUAAACCUCUUUCAGCAUCGACGAAGCGAAAGUGACGGUAGGUGCAGAAGAAGGACCGGCCAACUACGUGCCAGCCGCCGCGGUAA
rnacentral:rRNA from 1 species